rnacentral:rRNA from 1 species
AACGAACGCUGGCGGCAGGCCUAACACAUGCAAGUCGAGCGGGGGAGCAAUCCCUAGCGGCGGACGGGUUAGUAACGCGUGGGAACAUACCCUUUGGUACGGAAUAGCCUCGGGAAACUGAGAGUAAUACCGUAUGUGCCCUUCGGGGGAAAGAUUUAUCGCCAAAGGAUUGGCCCGCGUUGGAUUAGGUAGUUGGUGGGGUAAUGGCCUACCAAGCCUACGAUCCAUAGCUGGUUUGAGAGGAUGAUCAGCAACACUGGGACUGAGACACGGCCCAGACUCCUACGGGAGGCAGCAGUGGGGAAUCUUAGACAAUGGGCGCAAGCCUGAUCUAGCCAUGCCGCGUGAGCGAUGAAGGCCUUAGGGUUGUAAAGCUCUUUCAGAUGGGAAGAUAAUGACGGUACCAUCAGAAGAAGCCCCGGCUAACUCGGUGCCAGCAGCCGC